AGCAAUGUUACAGAGUCCACAGAAGAAGAAGAAUGAAGCUACCAAGGUGGUAACUCUUCAAAAAUUAGAAGAAGCUUUUCAAAAUGAGAAUCAUGAGAGACAAAUGUCUGAAGGGAUUACAAAAGAUUUUGGGAAGAAUGAAUGAAAGUAAGAGCUAGACAGACUGGAAGGUACUAAUGAAAGAAGAACGAGAAGAACAAUGGAGCCUUUUCACGUGUGUGACAAUCAUUCUCAUUUAUGUGCUUGACACAUUGCAACUGGAUAUUUAUUCUUAUGAAGUAGACUUUAAUGUCAUUGAAACUCUAAUACAACAAGGAAGAACCACCUGAUAAUACCAAGAUUGGGCUAAUCACUGUCAUUACACAGUGUGUAUGCAGCACACAGAGACUCUCUGUACACUCCGUUGAGGGAUUAGACGGAAUAUGCCUUGAUAAAACAGAGCAGCAGCACAAGGAGAUGCCUGAGCUGGCUCGAAACAAGAUGAGGACAAAUAACGUACUAAUGCAGUGAGACAACUUUAAAUAAGCAGCUCCUUUAUAAGUAAAUGGGAGAGCUCAACACAGAGCUGCAUGAUGUCAUGCAGACACGCUUUACUAACAGACAAAAUUAGCAGUGGGUGCAAAGUACCUAAUGCACCACUUCUCAAGCUUUUUGACGUUUCCCUGCUUUUCAGCCUGGAGUACAUUCCAGUGCUUCACAUACCACCUAGCUGGUGGUUUUCACCCUGAGCAGCGCACCCUGGAACUGUAUCACAGGUUAAGACCUAGGGAAGGAGUGCUUUGCCAGAGUGGUGGAUGGUGGAUUUCUGUAAGACUGUAGCCAGGGGAAUGCAACAUUUGGGAUAGAAGAACUCCAAUUGAGAAGAAUUUUAUGCAGUUGAUCAAGCCUUAGAAUUUAAAAGAAAUUAAAAAACAAAGAAAUCUAUCAACUGUGCAGACACAUUGGGUCCAUGAAGUAUAUCAUACAUAGAAGUCACCACAGAAGAAAUUGCCUCUAUGCAGGAGUGUCUUUUACUUCAGGGAGAAGGAUCCAUCUCCACCAAAACAUUAAAAACUUCCAAAAAACCUUUCAGGCUUAUUUCCCUGCUGCAUUAAGCAAAGAGAGCACAUGUGCCAAAACCAAGACCUACAUCAGCAUGGGAUGCACCAUACACAGCAAGGACAAGACACAUUGCACAUCCACAUCCUGAAACAAGGAUAUACACAUACCAGGAGAGGAAAUAUACUGGUCUGGCAUAGCAGCCCUCAUCUGCCUAUGCUUUUGGCAAUAGCAUGAAUAAAAAGGACUUACUCCU
ensembl:lncRNA